rnacentral:pre_miRNA from 1 species
GAUCUACUCCCUCCGUCCCAAAAUAAGUGACUCAAAAAUGACUCAAAUUUGCAUUUGAGUCACUUAUUUUGGGACGGAGGGAGUACAAC